rnacentral:lncRNA from 1 species
AGAGAUAAUAAAUUGUAGUUUAAUUUAUAUAUAUAUAUAUAUAUAUAUAUGUUUAUAAAUAAAGCGUCUAUACAUAAAAUUGAUGCAGUGGAUAUACUAAUUUUCAAAAGCUACAUAAUCCUAAAAAGUAUAUCUUUACUUACAAAACAAACAAAAGUAUCAUAUAUCCAAAGUCCUUAAGUUCUAUUCUAAUAGUAACCCAAAAAAUAAAUCUUCUUCCACCAGCUUGUGCACUACAUGAACCGGAUGUCAGGAAUGCUACUCAUCCUAAAAAGAAAAUAAAUAUAAUUAGAUUUUGAUAAAAAGAAGCAAUAAAGUACAAACGUGCAAAACGAAAUAGUGGAAGCUUAUUUUACUGCAACAACUUACAACAACAAUAACAAUAUACCCAGUAUAAUCCCAAUUUACGCAGAUCUUACCCCUAUCUUGUGAAGAUAAAGAGGUUGUUUCCAAUAGACUCUCGGCUCAGUACAACAUAAGUACCACAUCAAUGAAAAAAAGACAAGAAGAGACAACACCGGGAAGCCAUGUAAAAGCAACACAAAAAAUAUCAAGAUACUAAGAUGACCAAAAUGACUCCAUAACAGGAACCAUCAACCUGAAAAGAGCUUAGUGGAAACACAACAUUAACUUAAAAAGCACUCUCAGAAACAUGGUUGAGAAUAUUCCCUAAAUUUGAAUUUGUAUCAAAAUUUGUUUCUUCUUCUGAAGAUGAAUCCGGCUCACCAUGAUAAAUCCACCUAUCAUAGGUCGGAUCUAUUCCCCACCUAAGUAAAUCUGUCUUGACCUCAUCGCAUGAUUUUCUAAGCACAUUAUUACAUUUAAUGCAUGGACACUGGAUUCUUACACCAACCUCAGGAUUAGAAAAUGCAAAGUUUAAAAAAUAUUCCACACCAUUCAAAUAUUCCAUUAAUGUCCUAUUCUUAAUAAGUAGUCAAUUCUUAUCCAUCAUAUACUUACCUAUAAUGAAAUAUAAAAUAAAAUAUGUAAUACUAUAUAAUUAAAAUUGUAAAACUAUAUAAUUAACUUUCUUUCAUAAGUUCACUACUACAUAAAGCAGGAAGUUUACAACCUAAUGAUUUACUUUGGAUGUAGUUAAAUAUUCAAGAUAAUUGGAACUUAAAAGGAGUGAUGAAGUAUGGUGAUAGACAGAUAAUACCAAGAAUUCAAAUAUGUGAUAUGCAACAUAGAGUUGCCAGUACUAAUUAGUUUUAAGGACCAAUAAGUAGGUUCAUUCUGUUAACUCCAAAACCAAUAGAAAGUAUGUGAAGUCCAAGUAUCACAUUGUCACACUUCCAUAUGCUCUAGUAUUACAAGUUUUGACUUAUUAUCUAAAAUAGAAGUUAGAGAAAGUCUCUAUAUUAGAAAAUAGUUAAAAUAAAAGCAUAUAAUUUGAACUAAUAGCCACUGAAGCAAAGGAAGAUGAGUAGCAUCUUGAAAAAGUAAUAACAAAAAAAAAGAUAGCAAGUGAAAAAAAAAAGAAUCUGAAGUUACUAAAAAUUAAACAAUAGAUUUGCUACUACUAAAAGAAAAGAAACUCUAGAUUUUAGCGUUGUUAACUAAAGCUAAGGAGAAUAAAUAGUUUCUAUUUUAAGCAAAGCAUGUUUGAUUAACUAAAAAUUUAAAUUGAUUCCAUUAGGCAUGGUAAGUUGAGCUGUUUGAUGACAUGUUUAUGUGGGACUUCUUAAACAGACUUGAUAUCUCUUUGUUUGUUUUUCUGCAUCCUUACAAGGGUACUUUAGUUCAAGAUUAUGGGAAAAAGCUGAUAUUUCCCCAAAGUUAAAAGUUGAAGAGACAUAUCAGCUGUGAGUUUUCCAUAUCUAGUGCAAACUUUUUCUUUGAAACUCUCCAGCCUCCAUGACAACCCUUUGUAACUCUUGUCUACAUCACAAUCAUAUACAAUUCUUUCUUUGAAUAGGACAACCAUACUAAAUUCUUAUUCACUUGUUAUUUUUCAAGCGUAGACAUAUACGUUUUUUUAUAAAAAUGUGUAUUGUUUUAUAUCCUUGGCAAACCAAUUACACUGUUCUAUGGCCAAUUUUUGCAUUCACUUUGGUGCGCCUCUGAAGCUUUUGGAUGUUUGACUCUUUUUGUGGUAUUAGUUGCUGCACUUGGUUUCACAAUAAACUGGGGACUCCCAUUUUUUCGGAUGAAACAAAGAACAGAUAAAGGCACCCAUCUUUAUCAGAUUCAGAGAAAAAGUAGAUAAUAGCCCAUAUUGUAAAUCAUCAAUUCCAAAUAUUCUCACUCUCACACCAUUAAUUCCCCAAAAAAAGAACGUCAAAUAGCAUGACCAUGAAAAAAAUUAAGAAAAUUAUAUAGAAAACACUCACUAUAACAACCAAGAAAAGAUCAACGACAUCUCAUAUUACAAAACAAUUCAAGGAAAUCCCAGUAAACAAUCAUUGACUAGUGAUUAAGGUAUCACAAAUUAAGAAGAAUGAUACGAUUAAACUAAAUCAAAAGCAGAAAGCAAUAGAUAUUGAGAAGAAACGAAAUCAAAAGCGAGAACUCACCAGAUUUUGGGUUGAACACAACGGAAGAGAUAAAAAAAUCGAACACACAGAUGCAAGAACUUAGUUUAGAUAAUGAAAAGAGAAAACCUAGAUGCAGUGGAAACUAAAAUUGAGCACUAAAAAUUUGGGAAAAAGUAAUAAAAUAGGGAAAUCUGUUUUGGCGCGUUUGUUUUGGCAAAAAACUAAAAGUGAUUUACCAAAUUUUUGGC